AUGGCUCUUUCACUCACUUGGAUUGCCUGUCAAUGAGACGAAUCGUUUCGUCAGGGUGAUACUCGUUGAGAUAUGAGUCGUCGAUUAGAGUUAGCAAUCAAUCCGCCUUUCGAGAAGCGUCACAAUUUCUGACUUAGCUGCUCAAUAGCACGCACUUUAAUAUCUAACAACCACCUCUUUUCUCAGGGUAGCAAAGGGGGGUUGUUCAUGGAAUGCUUUCUCAAGUAGGCACUUGGUGUUGAGGCCACCACCGCUAAGUAAAAGGUAGUGAGUUCGAAUCCCAACCUCUUCAAAAGGGUAUUAUCACAUUUUGAUGGAUAUUGGAGACCCUUUCUUAUCUCAUUUUUAUUGGUAACUGUCACUGCAGGGCGGAGCAAGGUUCAGCACUACUAGUAUGUAUAUAGUUUAGAUGGAUUCAAUAGAGGGGA
rnacentral:sRNA from 1 species